AAUAAUACGGUAUUUUCUUGAAGUUUAAUAUUAAUUAAGUUAUCUUUGUUUAAAAUGUUAUAUUUUAAUAUAAUAUAAUAUAAAAUUUUAUUAAUUAAUAUUAUUGUAAUAUGUUUAUAUAUGUGCUAGUUAUUUAUAAAAGUUUUAUAAAUUCAAAUUAGUUAUGAAAAAUAUAAGGAUCAUAUUAUAAAAUAUCAAUAAUUUUAAAGUUGAGUUUGAAGUUUUGAUUUGGAGAAGAACACCUUUAAAAUUCAAAUAUCGAAUUUUGGAUACUUCAAAAUAAAGUUUUUUUUGGAGAUGCUCUAACUCAAUACUUGCGCUGAACCACAAUUAGACAAGAAAUCAAGUAGCGAAAUAGACUGAAAAAAAUGGUCGCUUAUUUUGUAUUAUUUAUUUGUCCGAAUGUAUUUAAUUUUUGCGCUAUACUUCUUUCCAUAUAUGAUGUAUUAUUUUAUAUGAUUCUAGUUUUACAGUAAUACAACUUCUUUUUUUUAUUAAUUAAGGUAGACAUAAAUAUACUUCUAAUUUCCUUACAUGCACAAAUCUUAAUAUCAUAGUGUUAUAGAUAUAAAUUAUAUAACUACUUAAUUAUUUUUUUGGGUCAAAAUAUAAUUAAAUAAUCCAUGAAUGUGUUUUCUUAUGACUAUAUAUUAUUAUACUGUUACAAUUUUAAAAAUCAGAAAAUAAGAUAUGAUUAUAAUGUAGUAAUCCCACUAUAUAAAAGCAACUAAUUUCAAGCAUUCUUAGGCAUGCCACAUAUGAUAAAAUAUUUAGAACCAAUCAUUUAGUCAUGUCAUUAUGAGUUUCUUAAUGACAAAUUGCUGGGCCUCACAAAACCUUCACACCAAUUCAAUGUAUCAUUCCAGCCAAUAGCAUAUCAUAUUCCUCCCUCUUCGUUAACCCUAACCUCCACAAUUCUUAUACACUUAAAAUAGUUAAGGCAAAUUACACUACACCAUUAAAUAAUUCAUACCACCAUCUUUCAAAAUUCCGGCUAGAUAGAUACACUUUCUCCACUGUUCAGAGCCAUUAACACCUUAAUCAGAUCAAAAACCCCAACCUGACGACUCUCUUCAACUUCCCCAUCUCCAUCUAUAUAACCCUUUGGCCACUUACGAAGCUCAAGUAUUCUCCAAAGCUAUAUGAAAAUACCUACCGCAGCCAUGGCUGGACAAACUCCAGCUCAACUGCACAAAAUCCAGUCGAGGCGUGUUGAAGAAGAGUUAGAAUUUGUAUUAUGAUGAGAGUACACAAAUUUCUGUCUAGAUCGGCCAUUUAGAUCCCUGCAACUGAAUCGCCACUGCCGAAGAGACGACGUAGCAGAAGAUGAAAGAUGUUUUUCGUUCGAGAACUUUCGUAUUGAAUCUCUUCAUAAACUCUUGGUAAGCUUAUUAUGGUAAGUUUAAUUUUCUAAAUCUGAUCUGAUUUGAUUCGAUAUUAUACAUCGACGAAAUUAAGCUUUUAAAUUUAGUCAUGAUAAUUGAUACUGUUAUGAAAAAUUCCUUUGAGAUUAGGAAGCAUAAGUAUAUUGAAGCUCCAGAUUGGUAAUGAUUUGUUUUUAAAAAAAAAAAUAUUGUUCGAAUGUAUGGUUUGUCUAUGCUCUUUCUUGAUUAAUAGUGUUUGUAUGAUUUUUUGCAGAAAUGACAAAGCAAAUCUGCUCAAAUAUUAGCCACAGACCUGAAAGUUUUUGCGGCUUUCAACUAACUUUACAAAGAGAUCACUCAGCUUCUGACUCUAGAGAAUUUUAGAAGCUGAUCGAGGGAAAUCCUUUGUUUGAUGUGAAGCUUCCCUUUCCCAGUUUCAAGGCUUCCCAGCUCAGAACUUUGAUCAAUCAAAGGUUGUACAAAGUCUUGAACAUUCUUGAGUUCAAUAGCACGAGGCAAAAUAUGCCAACAAUAGUGCAUGAUAAAGAUGGGAAACUCUGACUACUUUUUGAAAAACCAAAUCAGUAAGUGUAACUGGUGAUUUCAUAUAACAAAGUAUACAUAUCUUCCUUUUCAAAUUAUUUUAUGCCACUUCCUUUUCAAAAAAAUUGGAGAAUGCAUGCUUGAUCAUUAGUAUAUUAUAUACAUAUGGGAUUGGUCAUAUAAUACACUGAAAACGUAACUCAAGUUGCUGACUUUUUAUGGGAUGUUAACGCAACGAUAUUGCUAUCUUUAUUACAAACUCAUGUUGGAUGUGAUCUUGACUUCAGGAAUCUUUUCUUUUCCUAGAUUGAUAAUUCUGGCAGCAGAAGCAUGUAAUACAAAGUUUGGAUAUUUAUAGUUAAUUAACUAACUUGUCAUGAUCUGUGUUUGUACCAGGUCAAAGUUGGGUGCACAAGGCAGGAAGCAACUGUGCUUAAUAAGGAUUUACUAUAUACAUGCUUUACUAUAUUUACUCUGAAAUUCUAUCUGAAUAAAACAUUUUCAUAUCUUUUUUUCAUUUUUCAUUAAAACAUAUAUAUUUCAUUUUUUCAUUAAAAUAAAUAUUUUGAAUAUUUAAGUAAUUUCAAAUUUAUUUAAAAAUAAAUUUAUAUUUCAUUUUUCUUUUAAACAAAACUUUUAAAUAUUUAAUUAAUGUCGUAUUUAUUUUAAAAUUAAAUUUAUAUUUCAUUUUAACUAAAACAAAAUUUUAAAAUAUCUAACU